GAUGAACGCUGGCGGCGUGCUUAACACAUGCAAGUCGAACGGGAAACCUUUUAUUGAAGCUUCGGCAGAUUUAGCUGGUUUCUAGUGGCGGACGGGUGAGUAACGCGUGGGUAACCUGCCUUAUACAGGGGGAUAACAGUCAGAAAUGGCUGCUAAUACCGCAUAAGCGCACAGAGCUGCAUGGCUCAGUGUGAAAAACUCCGGUGGUAUAAGAUGGACCCGCGUUGGAUUAGCUGGUUGGUGGGGUAACGGCCCACCAAGGCGACGAUCCAUAGCCGGCCUGAGAGGGUGAACGGCCACAUUGGGACUGAGACACGGCCCAGACUCCUACGGGAGGCAGCAGUGGGGAAUAUUGCACAAUGGGGGAAACCCUGAUGCAGCGACGACGCGUGAAGGAAGAAGUAUCUCGGUAUGUAAACUUCUAUCAGCAGGGAAGAUAAUGACGGUACCUGACUAAGAAGCCCCGGCUAACUACGUG
rnacentral:rRNA from 1 species